rnacentral:rRNA from 1 species
UCCCAGACUCCUACGGGAGGCAGCAGUGGGGAAUAUUGCACAAUGGGGGAAACCCUGAUGCAGCGACGCCGCGUGAGUGAAGAAGUAUUUCGGUAUGUAAAGCUCUCUCAGCAGGGAAGAUAAUGACGGUACCUGAGUAAGAAGCCCCGGCUAACUACGUGCCAGCAGCCGCGGUAAUACGUAGGGGGCAAGCGUUAUCCGGAUUUACUGGGUGUAAAGGGAGCGUAGACGGCAUGGCAAGUCUGAAGUGAAAGCCCGGGGCUCAACCGCGGGACUGCUUUGGAAACUGUUAAGCUGGAGUGCAGGAGAGGUAAGUGGAAUUCCUAGUGUAGCGGUGAAAUGCGUAGAUAUUAGGAGGAACACCAGUGGCGAAGGCGGCUUACUGGACUGUAACUGACGUUGAGGCUCGAAAGCGUGGGGAGCAACCAGGAUUAGAUGCCCGCGUAGC